rnacentral:lncRNA from 10 species
CGAGAAGGAAACGGCUGUGCUUCAGGAUGUGGACUGGCCAUGUUCCCAGUGAAGAACCGCUGCAUACUCAUUGGAUGAGAAGCAGUUGCAAUGAGAUUUUGAUUAACUCAGACUCCCUGGAGACAUAAAAUCUCUCCAACAUUAGGAGAGUGAAAGGAAGAAAGUGAAGGAGAAAGUGAGUUCAUGGUUCAAGAUGCAGAAUAACCGAGAGAGAUGGCAGCAAGCAAGGACUCGAGCUAACAAGAACAACUGAUAGAAUGAUUCUGGCCAAAGCAUCCGUGGAAGUGUGGUGCUAUGAUCUGAAUGCUUGUGCCCCUCAAAAUUUAUAUGCAAAAACCCUAAUCCCGAAGGUGAAGGUGUUAGGAGGAGGGGCCUUUGGGAGGUGAUUAGGUCAUCAUGAAUGGGGUCGAUGCCCUUAUAAAAGAGGCCCCAGAGAGCUAGCUUGCCCCUUCCACCAUGUGAGGAUUCAGUGAGAAGGCACCAUCUUUGAGAAAGCAGGCCCUCACCAGAUACUGAAUCUGCUGGUGCCUUGACCUUGGAAUUCCCAGCCUCUAGA